AACUCUCUGCAAGGUGCUGGCAUGGUUGUCGUCAGCUCGUGCCGUGAGGUGUCGGGUUAAGUCCCAUAACGAGCGCAACCCUUAUCGUUAGUUGCCAGCGGGUAAUGCGGGGACUCUAGCGAAACUGCCGGUGUAAACCGAGAGGAAGGUGGGGAUGACGUCAAAUCAGCACGGCCCUUAUGUCCAGGGCUACACACGUGUUACAAUGGCCGGUACAGAGGGCAGCUACCUGGAGACAGGAUGCGAAUCUCGAAAGCCGGUCUCAGUUCGGAUCGGAGUCUGCAACUCGACUCCGUGAAGCUGGAUUCGCUAGUAAUCGCGCAUCAGCCAUGGCCGCGGUCGAAUACGUUCCGGGCCUU
rnacentral:rRNA from 1 species